rnacentral:lncRNA from 1 species
ACACCUCCUCUCCCACGUUCCCCAUUAUUACCCAACACAAUAUAACACACACAAACACUUGAAUAAACGGAAGAAGGCAACAUAUAAAAAAGGAUCAGAAAAAGAAAACAAAGAGGGAGAAAAACAGAAUUAAGAAAAACAUUGGAAGCAAAAAAAAAAAAACAUUCUUGAGCCAACCAAAAGAAAACAAAAGACAAAAUAUAUUCCCUCCCACU